GCCAGACUCCUACGGGAGGCAGCAGUGAGGAAUAUUGGUCAAUGGUCGGGAGACUGAACCAGCCAAGCCGCGUGAGGGAGGAAGGUACAGAGUAUCGUAAACCUCUUUUGUCAGGGAACAAAGACUGGGACGCGUCCCCGGAUGAGUGUACCUGAAGAAAAAGCAUCGGCCAACCCCGUGCCAGCAGCCGCGGUAAUACGGAGGAUGCGAGCGUUAUCCGGAUUUAUUGGGUUUAAAGGGUGCGUAGGCGGGCUGGUAAGUCAGGUGUAAAAGCCCGGGGCCCCACCCCGGCGAGCCGUUGAAACUGGCUGUCUUGAGAUGUCGAGAGGUAUGCGGAAUGCGCAGUGUAGCGGUGAAAUGCUUAGAUAUUGCGCAGAACUCCGAUUGCGAAGGCAGCAUACCGGCGGCGAUCUGACGCUGAGUCACGAAAGCGUGGGUAUCGAACAGGAUUAGAUACCCCUGUAU
rnacentral:rRNA from 1 species